CCUCAUUUCUUAAAAGUCAACAAGCGCUUGUCGGUGAAUUAUCAAGAUUUAUAUUUCUACUAUUAAAAAGAUUUAAGGAAAUGGAGAAGCCAAAAUUUGAGUUGUAUUUUUGUACCCACCACCAUAGGAUGGAGGUAUACUAAUUUAGUCAUUCCGUUUGUAACUCUUUGAAAUAUUCGUCUAAGACACCAAUAAGAAGCGGUAAUUAUUGAGAACAACGAAAUAACAAUGUCUAUGUUUGUGGCUGAAUUGAGAAAGGCUAUUCGACUGUUGAAAAAUAAGCAGUGCAAGUAUGAAAGAAUUUCUUGUGAUAUUCAUUCCCUUGGUCAAAUUAGCUCGACUCUUUCCCCAUUUGGGAAGAAAUAAUAAUUUUUUAACCAGUAUUUGAAUCACUUGAGACUGAAUCCAAAUUUAAAUAUUACUGAGAGGCUAUUUUGAUUAUUUUUAAAAUUUUU